rnacentral:lncRNA from 1 species
GCGCGGUUGGAACGUGCCCUAGCACUUCACCGAUCUUCCCAAAUCCACUUCUUUUCUCCACCAAAAUCCCUCUUCACUCUCUUGUGAUCCCUCCUCCUCUCAUUCAAGUGUUCCUUGCCUGCUACUAUAGUGAAUAUGGCUCCAAAGAUGAAACUUCCCCAAAGAAGAAAGUCAAUCCGUGAGGCUGAAGAAAUUAUCCGAAAGAAAAGGCAGGCUGGUCAGUCUUCCAGUGCUCCCACUCCAGCUCCAAUAUCUGCUCAAGGUCCCCCUCAAUCCCUCCUAAGCCCCAGUAAGAAUCCUUUUUUCCGAUAGAAAAGUCGAAACCGGGAAAAAUAUAGAUUUUCGGUUCUUUGAGAAAGA